UAGAGAUCUAUUGAAAUAAGAAAAUCUACUAUGCUUUCAAAUUAUAUGGUAUAUUUGAUAGAUAUGGAUGAAAAAUAUUGAUGACCUUGAGAUGUUCUUACAAGCCAUUAAAGGUGAGAACUCAUUAUAAUGGUUGGAUGCUAUAAAAGAAAAAGCUGAGUUCUAUGGAUAAGAACCAUGUCUGAAAAUAAGUUGACAUAUCUGAAGGAUGCAAUCAAUAAGUUACAAAAAUAGAUCUAUAAAACCAAAAGAAUAUCUAAUGGAAAGAUCAAACAGUAUAAAGCCAGACUUGUAGCAAAGGGGUUUACACAAGAAGAAAGGCAUUAACCAUUCUUCUUUUUAGGAUUGUCAUGGUCUGAGCAGCUCAUUUUUGGCAUAGAGCUGUAUUGGUUAGAUAUAAGAAAAGCCUAGUGAUUCAGAGGAAGGGGUCUACAUGAAACAACUUGAGGAUUUUUAUGGUCAGUGGACAAGAGCAUAUGGUUUGCAAAUUAAAGAAAUAUAGUUAUGGACUUAAAUAGGCUUCCACACU
rnacentral:lncRNA from 1 species